GACGAACGCUGGCGGCGUGCUUAACACAUGCAAGUCGAACGGAAAGGCCCUGCUUUUGUGGGGUUCUCGAGUGGCGAACGGGUGAGUAACACGUGAGUAACCUGCCCUUGACUUUGGGAUAACUUCAGGAAACUGGGGCUAAUACCGGAUAGGAGCUCCUGCUGCAUGGUGGGGGUUGGAAAGUUUCGGCGGUUGGGGAUGGACUCGCGGCUUAUGAGCUUGUUGGUGGGGGAGUGGCUUACCAAGGCAUUGACGGGUAGCCGGCCUGGGAGCGUGACCGGCCACAUGAGGACUGAGAUACGGCGCAGUCUGGUACGGGGGGCAGCAGUCGCGAACAUUGCACAGUGGGCGGAAGCCUGAUGCAGCGGCGCCGCGUGCGGGAUGACGGCCUGCGGGUUGUAAACCGCUUUCGCCUGAGACGAAGCGUGAGUGACGGUAACGGGUAAAGAAGCACCGGCUAACUACGUG
rnacentral:rRNA from 1 species